UACUUUCUUCAUUUUAAGAUAAAAUUUACAAGCUCGCAAUUGCAACAACAUGUGGAAAAAAGUAUGAUUUGAUCAAAAACUGAAAAAGUCCACUUUCAAUUUCCACCAUCGAAAGACACUCACCUCGCAGAACUUAACGUGUUAAUGGCACUGCAUAGAAGGCGACCAGCCGUCUACUGGGACGCCAUGGCUCCCCUCGUAACGCCGCUUCUACAGAAAGCGCUGGAUAUGUUGCUUAUUCCAAAAUAUAAUUAUGCAAUUUACUAGAGUUAAUGUCGAAAUAGGUUACUGGGGUGGUGGUGGCGGAUCUUGCAGAUGUGGAUACCGCUGCUACCGAGGUGAGCGUUGGAGCGGCCGCUGCGGCUAUGGACGGAUUCAAUGUUGCCGAAGAUGGUGGGGACGCAACGACUAGAUCAAACGAAGAGCGUGGUGAGAUUCAGUGAUGCCUCGAUGGAAUGUUUCAACAUUUUGACCAGUACAUGUAAUAUAAGAGCUCUAAAUAAAGUGGAUAUUCUAUU